CGUAACAAGGUUUCCGUUGGUGAACCAGCGGAGGGAUCAUUA
rnacentral:rRNA from 2 species